AGAAAAGUUCUCGAAGUCCCCUACCCGAUUAGCUACACACAGAGCGUUUACAAUUCUUUAGCUAGAGGGAAAAGUGCGUUUACAAUCCUUUAGCUAGAGGGAAAAGUUCUCCAAGUCCCCACCCGUCCCAGAAGCCCAGCCAGCUUCACCUCUCACUGGCACCCGGCCACGGACACCCAGGCAACCCAGAGGGAGCUCAUCACCUAAUCAAACCCAGCAGGCUCCGGCCGGCCACGCCCAGUGCGGGGCCCGCCAAGCUCACGCCCAGUGCGGGGCCCGCCAAGCUCGCGCCCACCCGUAAUCCGCGCCAACGCUCUGGCCGCGCGCAGGCCCGGUUCCCGCCGGCGCCUCUCCCUCUGAACCUCCCCGGGAGGAGAAGGAGCCGGCUCCGGCUCCGGCCUCGGCCAGCCCCAGAGAGGGGCGCCCACAGCGCAGCGGCGGGCUGAAGGGCUCCUCAAGCGCGACAAGAGCGGACGCCGGACGCCGUGGCUGAGGAGGCGCCCAGAGCGAGCGAAGAUUGCUGUCUUCCUCAAGUGUCAGUUCCUCCUUGUUCACUCUCUCGACUACCACCAUAUAAGACAUGCUUCCUCCUCUGCAAUGAUUGCAAGUUUCCUGAGGCCUCCUCAGCCAUGCAGAACUAUAUUAUUCAUACCCAAUUUGUGGCAAUCCUGUGAAUCUGAUCAUUGUUUGAUAUUUCAAAAUUAUAGAGAAGUUACAGGAAUGAAACAAGAAAUUCCUAUACACCUGCCUAGAUUCACCAACGAUUGACAUUUCGUCAUUUGUUUUCCUUCUCUUUUUCUCUUUUAUUUCACACAAAAUAUGCAUAUAUAAGAAUUUUAAAAACAAUUUCAGAGUAAGAGGAAGUUGGAGACAUAACAGCCCUGACAUUUAGAUGCAAUUACUUUUGCAUCUAUUUCCUGAGA